GUCACUUUGCCGGAGUGGUUAACGGGAUCGCCUGCUACAAAUGCAAACAGCGGUUGGUCUUUGACCGCGAGUGUUCGAAUCGCUCAGGUGACG
rnacentral:tRNA from 1 species